AACUUCAACGAUAUUUUGUCUUAUUUUUAAGGUUUCGCUUUAGUGGACGUGUUCUAGGAUUAGCAUUGGUUCAUCAAUAUUUACUGGAUGCUUUCUUUACAAGGCCUUUUUACAAAGCUCUCCUUAGACUGCCAGUAGCGUUAUCCGAUCUGGAAAGUUUAGAUUUCGAGUUUCACCAGUCGCUUCAAUGGAUCAAAGAAAACGACGUAUCUAAUCAAGGAGAACUAGAACUUACGUUUUCAGUUACUGAAGAGGUUUUCGGUCAAGUUCUGGAAAGAGAGCUCAAACCGGGUGGAAGAAAUGUCCCGGUAACCGAAAAGAAUAAAAAAGAAUACUUGGAACGAAUAGUAAGAUGGCGACUGGAAAGAGGAGUAGCUGAACAAACAGAGUGCUUAGUCAGGGGCUUUUAUGAAGUUGUAGAUCCUCGACUAGUUAGUGUUUUUGAUGCUAGGGAAUUAGAGCUUGUAAUGGCAGGAACUGCUGAAA